CGUUUAGAGAGCAUUUACACCAUCCUAUGUAUCUAAUCAUCAUGAACCUGGCUCUUUCUGACCUCAUCUUCGACACAAUUACAUUGCCCAAAGCCAUAGCCAUGUAUUGGUUUGGAGAUGGGAAGAUAUCCCUUGUGGCAUGCAUGUUCCAGUUAUUUGGUGUCCAUUAUUUGGGAUCUUUUGAUUCUUUCAUUAUCAUGCUAAUGGCUAUUGACCGUUAUGUUGCCAUUUGCAAACCGCUGAGAUAUUCUUCAAUAAUCACUAAUAAAGUGACUGUUUAUCU